GUCGGACUGGUUGGCGGUAUAAGCGGUGCCGCGCUCGCGCCGGUCGGUGAAGGCGCUGACAUUGGCCUGGAGUUCGGUCGCCGGCGCGAUC
rnacentral:tRNA from 1 species